UGUGGACAUCACCGGCGCUGAGAAGUCCUCGGUGAAGCCCUCGCUGCUGUGAAUCAUUCGCUGCCGUGCAACCCUCGAGAUCACCAAGACAGUGGCAUGAUCGGUCCUGUUCUGACAAGUGAAGCCAACUUUUUGACCAAGAUGCAACAAUAAGGGAAAAAGUAGAUCCUAUAUAUGCACGUAUUCAAGAUCACUAAUGCUGCUGAUGUGGUAAUUUAGGAACACCCAAAAUUCUCUCUUCCAUGAGUAGGCAAUACUAUUAUGUUUAAAUAGGUACUCUUUUGCUUCCAGCUUCGAGAAGAAAAUGUGCAAAUAAGUAAGACUUAAUUAUGAAGUUUAGUUCAUGUUUGGCUUGUUGCCACCAUCAAUGCAAGUGCAUGUAGGUGGUUUUUUACUUUCAAUUUUGUCUUAUUGUCUUCUCAAUAAAAAUGAAGUCUGAUUCU